GCGAAACGAGCGAUCAGUCUCCGCUUCGUCCCCGCGAGCUAGCUCUAGGCUCUAGCCUCUAGGUUGGUGGUGGCGCACCCCAUGGCCGCCGCCGCCGCCGCCGCAGCGAGCACCGCUCGCGGCAGCCACCGGCCAUGGACGGCGCCUACGACGAGGGCAAGCCGCGGUGUUAGUAUCAGCACUAGCAGCUGCCGAGUCUUGUCCCCCCCUGCGCCGAUCUGCGCGAGAGGUCGUAGCGCCAUGGAUGCCGCGCCGCGGCGGGAAGCCGCCGUGGCCAAGGCCGGCACGGCGGAUGCGCGGCCUUCGUCGUCGUUGUCAGACGCCGUCUCCUACUCCUCCGGCAUCUCCACCGACAUGCCGCUCUACGAGCCUCCCGGGGUGUCGUUCGACGAGUACCUCCUCGACCGCGCGCGCGUGUUCCGCGCCAUGUUCCCCGACGAGAGCAGGAGCCAGCGCCUCAGCGACGAGGAAUGGAGAGUCCAGAUGCUGCCGCUGCAGUUCCUCCUCCUCACCGUGCACCCCGUCGUCGUCAUGCAGCUGCGCCACCGCGACGGCGUGCUCGACCUCCGAAUCACGGAGUGGGAGCUGCGUGGGCUGGAGCGCGGCUACGCGCCGGCGAGCUUCGACCUCGGCGUCCGCGGGUCGCUCUACGCCGACAGGAGCCGCGGCCGCCGGGCCUGCCGAUUGAGGGGCCACCUCAAGAUCUCCAUCACCUGCGUCCUGCCGCCGCCGAUGCGCCUCGUUCCGAAGGACGUCAUGCGCGGCGUCGCCGAGUCGGUUCUACAGAGGCUCGCCGAGAAGAUGAAGAGGGACGUCGACGUCGGCCUCAUAGCCGACUUCCAGAAAUUCCGGCGGGAGAAGGCAGCGGCCGCCGCAGCGACGGCGAAGCUGAAUGCCAUACCAGACAGAAAACACUGAAGCCUGAAUGUCUGAAAUUCUGAAGAAUCAACUGCAAAUGCACUCUUUCAGGGUUCAAUCUGACAACUGACAUAUACAGCAGCACAAGUAAAUUUCAGGAACAAAAUACGCCAAGAGGAGGAGGAAGAAGACGACCG